GACAGAGGGUGCAAACGUUGCUCGGAAUUACUGGGCGUAAAGCGCGUGUAGGCGGACCUUCAAGUCGGACGUGAAAGCCCUGAGCUCAACUCAGGAACUGCAUCCGAAACUGAAGGUCUGGAGUAGUGGAGAGGGAAGCAGAAUUCCUGGUGUAGAGGUGAAAUUCGUAGAUAUCAGGAGGAACACCGGUGGCGAAGGCGGCAUCCUGGACCAACACUGACACUGAGGAGCGAAAGCCAGGGGAGCAAACGGG
rnacentral:rRNA from 1 species